AGGCACUGACCUUUAAAGUCCCUCCCUUACCUCGUAAGUAAGCAGAUACUAAAUAAAUACCCUAAUAAUAAAAUUAUCGUUCGUUUUGAGGGCCUCCAUCAACCAGGCCCUGUAUCAUAUAGCCCCGUAUCGUCAAACAAAGGAAAACAAACCUCACAAACCAAGGUUGACCUGAGAUUUCAAACUUGCCGUCGUGCAAUACUAGGGGUUAGUAGAUCACUAAUUCACUACUGUUUAUGGUCAAGUAGUUGGCAAAGAAGAUGCUUUCAAAUACUAGGGGGCACUCUCUCUCAAUCCAUACUUCAUCUACUCUUCUACUAAGGUUAAGGGCCAACCCCUAACCACGGCCGGAAACGUCAAUGACUAAGAAGGCUAAAAAUCUGAAAGCUGGAAGCGGGAGAUCACUAACUCUUUAUAUGAAAUACCGGAUUAAUAUCAGUAAUUUACCGUACCAAAACCCUUUGACACCUACGCUGCAACCCUGAUGUCUUUCAGACUAGCUUAAUUGCUUGCCCUACUGGGUCCGUACUAGCCAGGCACCUUACGAAACACACUUUAGAGCGUGCAUGAACUGACAAACUUGAUUGACAGCAUAGC
rnacentral:lncRNA from 1 species